CAAUAGCGUAUAUUAAAGUUGUUGCAGUUAAAAAGCUCGUAGUUGGAUUUCUGGUAGGAGCGACCGUGCCGAACUUGAUUGUUCGAGUAUUGUGUUGUCUUCAGCCAUCCUCGUGGAGAACUUUUCUAACAUUAACUUGUUGGGAUUGGGACCCGCGUCGUUUACUGUGAAAAGAUUAGAGUGUUUAAAGCAGGCAUUAGCUUGAAUACAUUAGCAUGGAAUAAUAAGAUAGGACUUUGGUACUAUUUUGUUGGUUUGCAUACCAAAUUAAUGAUCAACAGGAACAGUUUGAGGAUAUUCGUAUGAACAUGUCAGAGGUGAAAUUCUUGGAUUUUGAUCAGACGAACUACUGCGAAAGCAUUUAUCAAGGAUGUUUUCAUUAA
rnacentral:rRNA from 1 species